AUCGUUUUGUUUGAAUAGAACAGUUAGUUUUGAGCGAGCGACCGGUUUCGGCCGAUACUUCUCCAUCAUCGGUGCAAUUUCGGCGUCGCUGCCGUCUAACGAGUCCGAUAUCGAGUCAUUUAAAUGCACUAGCGUUUGCCAUUAUCGAGAACAGUCUGAAUUAUUGGUACAACACGAACGCCGCGGAAACUUGCCGUUCGGUCACAUAACUCUUCUUACGAAAUCAACCUGUUAAUAGGAUUGACACAUCGAGAGACAGAAGAGACGGGGUCGGGGGUCACGCGUGUCUUCGAAAAUGCAAGCUUCGGUGGACGAUGAGAUGAAUCAUUCACGGCUUUCCGAUGCGAAGAAAGGAAAUAAUUUAACACCUGCGGUGUUCUAUUUGCUGGGGUUUCUAGAGUAGACGGACCGAUCGAGCUUGCUGGUCGGCGGUAAUUGAUGGAGCAAAUUGAAUUCGAUUUCCUGGGUCUAGGGCGCUUCCGCACCCAAAUUCUCAAAUUGAAAAUUCUUAAUUUAAUUACUCCGGCACACUUUUUCACCACCUACUAACAGUUAUGUACAAUAAAAGAAAUGAACUCUUUUUCUUACUU